CACUGAAGCCUUAGUUUCGCUCACAUCAACAGAAACAAUAUGCAAAUGUCUGUGUUCCCAUGAAAGGUUUAACACCAGUGCCGAGGUCCCCUCAGCAAGCAAACUGAGAAACACCCGCAGCCAGGACAAACUCCAGCCAUUGAUGAGUGUGGUCACAUCAGGAGCUAGCUGCCUAACACAUUUCUGGAGCUUUUUGGAAGGACAGACAGUCCUACCCUGCAACUUUAAACAUGGGCAUAAUGGACUGAAUACAUGGGCAUAAUGGACUACAAACAUGGGCAUAAUGGACUACAAACAUGGGCAUAAUGGAUUACAAAGAUGGCCAUAAUGAACUACAAAGACGGCCAUAAUGAACUACAAAGACGGCCAUAAUGGACUACAAACAUGGACAUAAUGGAUUACAAAGAUGGCCAUAAUGAACUACAAAGACGGCCAUAAUGAACUACAAACCUGGGCAUAAUGGAC
rnacentral:lncRNA from 1 species